GACAGAGGUGCCGAGCGUUAGGCGGAAUCACUGGGCUUAAAGCGUGUGUAGGCGGGUCGUUAAGUACCUUGUGAAAUCCCACGGCUUAACCGUGGAACUGCUCGGUAUACUGGCGAUCUUGAGCCCCUUAGGGGUCAGCGGAACAAAUGGUGGAGCGGUGAAAUGCGUAGAUAUCAUUUGGAACGCCAAUGGUGAAAACAGCUGACUGGGAGUGUGCUGACGCUGAGACACGAAAGCCAGGGGAGCGAACGGG
rnacentral:rRNA from 1 species